rnacentral:miRNA from 1 species
UCUAUCUACCAUGCUCCCUUGCGGCUCCCACAAUUCCCAGCACAGUAUGUGUGCUGGGAAUGGUGGGAACCGUGAGGGAGCAUGGUAGAUAG